rnacentral:misc_RNA from 1 species
AAAAUAAUCCUACCCUUUGUGAAUCUUGUUUGUUUGAAUAAUUUUUUUUUUUUAAAAAAUUAUUGGAGUCUUUCCCUUUAGAGUUUGCUUUUGAGUUUGUAAAAGAAUUCGAAAACAUCUAAAGGGGAUGGUCAAUAAUUUUUUUUGAAAAAAGACAUUUUUUAAAAUUAAACUUUUUGUAUUCAUUUGUCUAAAAAUUAUUUUUAUAAUAUAAAAACAACUUUUGACAAUGGAUCUCUUGGUUCUCGCAACGAUGAAGAACGCAGCAAAAUGCGAUAAGUAGUGUGAAUUGCAGAAUACGUGAAUCAUCGAAUCUUUGAACGCAUAUUGCACUUUUUUAGUUUACUAAAAAAGUAUGUCUGUUUGAGUAUCAGUAAAAUAUUCUCAUAAAAAUCAUUGCGUAUUUUUAUGAUUAUGAGUGUUUUACAACGAUACAAGUUGUUUCACUUUAAAUUUUUUUUUAAUAUUGAAAUUUUUCUAAUUUUAAUAAUUAAAAUUGGAUAAAAUUUUCCCGUCAAAAGGAAUAACCUAAACAAUUUUAAACGAUUAAUUUUAGCAAAAUUUUCGUAAAAAAGGAAAAUUUUUAUUAAAAUAACUUGAUCUCAAAUCAGAUAAGAGUACCCGCUGAACUUAAGCAUAUCAAUAAGCGGAGGAAAAGAAACUAACAAGGAUUCCCUUAGUAACGGCGAGUGAAGCGGGAAGAGCUCAAAUUUGAAAUCUUCAAGGUUUUACCUUGACGAAUUGUAGUUUAAAGAAGUGUUUUCUGCUGAAGUUUUGGUAAAAGUUCUUUGGAAUAGGACAUCAUAGAGGGUGAGAAUCCCGUAUUUGACCAUUAUUUUCAGCUUUGUGAUACACUUUCAAAGAGUCGGAUUGUUUGGGAAUGCAGUCCAAAAUGGGUGGUAAAUUUCAUCUAAAGCUAAAUAUUGGCGAGAGACCGAUAGCGAACAAGUACCGUGAGGGAAAGAUGAAAAGAACUUUGAAAAGAGAGUUAAACAGUACGUGAAAUUGUCAAAAGGGAAGCGUUUGACACCAGUGUUGUUUUCUCGAAAAUCAAUUAAAAAUGGCUCGAUUUUGUAUUGCUGAGACCUUAAAAGCUCACUGUACAUUUUUCGUGUCUUUUUUAAUGCACUUUUCGUUUAACAAGUCAACAUCAGUUUCUUUUGUUGUAAAAGGGUCAUUGGAAGGUGGCUUUCUUUUCGGAGAAAGUGUUUAUAGCCUUUGGCCUCUGCAAUCGGAGAGACUGAGGUCUGCAGCGUAGACUCUUCGGGGUUAGAUACAUUUGUGCUAAGUUAUAGCUUUUUAUAGACAACUUGUUGACUAUAAUUAGUCUUGUAGCUUACUCGCUUAUGCUAUUUUACCU